rnacentral:rRNA from 1 species
AGAGUUUGAUCCUGGCUCAGGACGAACGCUGGCGGCGUGCCUAAUACAUGCAAGUCGAGCGGAUGAUAAGGAGCUUGCUCCUUUGAUUUAGCGGCGGACGGGUGAGUAACACGUGGGCAACCUGCCCUAUAGCUUGGGAUAACUUCGGGAAACCGGAGCUAAUACCGAAUAAUUCAUUUCCUCUCAUGUGGAAAUGCUGAAAGACGGUUUCGACUGUCACUAUAGGAUGGGCCCGCGGCGCAUUAGCUAGUUGGUGAGGUAACGGCUCACCAAGGCGACGAUGCGUAGCCGACCUGAGAGGGUGAUCGGCCACACUGGGACUGAGACACGGCCCAGACUCCUACGGGAGGCAGCAGUAGGGAAUCUUCCACAAUGGGCGAAAGCCUGAUGGAGCAACGCCGCGUGAGUGAAGAAGGUUUUCGGAUCGUAAAACUCUGUUGUAAGGGAAGAACAAGUACAGUAGUAACUGGCUGUACCUUGACGGUACCUUAUUAGAAAGCCACGGCUAACUACGUGCCAGCAGCCGCGGUAAUACGUAGGUGGCAAGCGUUGUCCGGAAUUAU